GGCCGCAUGGCCCAAUGGCAAGGCGUCUGACUACGAUCAGCAUCACUGUUCAGAAAUGACGGUAGCUGUAGUGCAUCAGGAGAUUGCAGGUUCGAGCCCUGCUGUGGUCA
rfam:Verticillium dahliae VdLs.17 supercont1.8 genomic scaffold, whole genome shotgun sequence.